rnacentral:rRNA from 1 species
UGGGAAUUUGGACGAAUGGGCGAAAGCCUGAUCCAGCAAUGCCGCGUGUGUGAAGAAGGCCUUCGGGUUGUAAAGCACUUUUGUCCGGAAAGAAAUCCUUGGCUCUAAUACAGUCGGGGGAUGACGGUACCGGAAGAAUAAGCACCGGCUAACUACGUGCCAGCAGCCGCGGUAAUACGUAGGGUGCAAGCGUUAAUCGGAAUUACUGGGCGUAAAGCGUGCGCAGGCGGUUUGCUAAGACCGAUGUGAAAUCCCCGGGCUCAACCUGGGAACUGCAUUGGUGACUGGCAGGCUAGAGUAUGGCAGAGGGGGGUAGAAUUCCACGUGUAGCAGUGAAAUGCGUAGAGAUGUGGAGGAAUACCGAUGGCGAAGGCAGCCCCCUGGGCCAAUACUGACGCUCAUGCACGAAAGCGUGGGGAGCAAACAGGAUUAGAUACCCUGGUAGUCCACGCCCUAAACGAUGUCAACUAGUUGUUGGGGAUUCAUUUCCUUAGUAACGUAGCUAACGCGUGAAGUUGACCGCCUGGGGAGUACGGUCGCAAGAUUAAAACUCAAAUGAAUUGACGGGGUCAUAGCUGUUU